UACGGAGGGUGCAAACGUUGCUCGGAAUUAUUGGGCGUAAAGCGCACGUAGGCGGUCCAGCAAGUCGGGUGUGAAAGCCCUCGGCUUAACCGAGGAAGUGCAUUCGAAACUACUGGACUUGAAUACUGGAGAGGAUCGCGGAAUUCCCGGUGUAGAGGUGAAAUUCGUAGAUAUCGGGAGGAACACCAGUGGCGAAGGCGGCAUCCUGGACCGGCAUUGACGCUGAGGCGCGAAAGCUAGGGGAGCAAACGGG
rnacentral:rRNA from 1 species